rnacentral:rRNA from 1 species
AGGAUGGACCCGCGUCUGAUUAGCUAGUUGGUGAGGUAACGGCUCACCAAGGCGACGAUCAGUAGCCGGCCUGAGAGGGUGGCCGGCCACACUGGGACUGAGAUACGGCCCAGACUCCUACGGGAGGCAGCAGUGGGGAAUCUUCCGCAAUGGGCGCAAGCCUGACGGAGCAACGCCGCGUGAAUGAAGAAGGCCUUCGGGUCGUAAAGUUCUGUCUUCAGGGAAGAAGGCCCCGGUUGUAAAUAAUGACCGGGGAUGACGGUACCUGAGGAGGAAGCUCCGGCUAACUACGUGCCAGCAGCCGCGGUAAUACGUAGGGAGCAAGCGUUGUCCGGAAUUACUGGGCGUAAAGAGCACGUAGGCGGAUAUUUAAGUCAGAUGUGAAAACUCCGGGCUCAACUUGGAGACUGCAUUUGAAACUGGGUAUCUUGAGGGCAGGAGAGGAAAGUGGAAUUCCUAGUGUAGCGGUGGAAUGCGUAGAUAUUAGGAGGAACACCAGUGGCGAAGGCGACUUUCUGGACUGUACCUGACGCUGAGGUGCGAAAGCGUGGGGAGCGAACGGGAUUAGAUACCCCGGUAGUCCACGCCGUAAACGAUGAAUACUAGGUGUAGGAGGUAUCGACCCCUUCUGUGCCGCAGCUAACGCAAUAA